UUGGRCAAUGGGCGCAAGCCUGAUCCAGCCAUGCCGCGUGAGUGAUGAAGGCCUUAGGGUCGUAAAGCUCUUUCGCCAGAGAUGAUAAUGACAGUAUCUGGUAAAGAAACCCCGGCUAACUCCGUGCCAGCAGCCGCGGUAAUACGGAGGGGGUUAGCGUUGUUCGGAAUUACUGGGCGUAAAGCGUACGUAGGCGGAUUAGUCAGUCAGAGGUGAAAUCCCAGGGCUCAACCCUGGAACUGCCUUUGAUACUGCUAGUCUUGAGUUCGAGAGAGGUGAGUGGAAUUCCAAGUGUAGAGGUGAAAUUCGUAGAUAUUUGGAGGAACACCAGUGGCGAAGGCGGCUCACUGGCUCGAUACUGACGCUGAGGUACGAAAGUGUGGGGAGCAAACAGGAUUAGAUACCCUGGUAGUCCACACCGUAAACGAUGAAUGCCAGUCGUCGGGCAGUAUACUGUUCGGUGACACACCUAACGSAUUAAGCAUUCCGCCUGGGGAGUACGGUCGCAAGAUUAAAACUCA
rnacentral:rRNA from 1 species